rnacentral:SRP_RNA from 2 species
CGGUGGCGCGUGCCUGUAGUCCCAGCUACUCGGGAGGCUGAGGCUGGAGGAUCGCUUGAGUCCAGGAGUUCUGGGCUGUAGUGCGCUAUGCCGAUCGGGUGUCCGCACUAAGUUCGGCAUCAAUAUGGUGACCUCCCGGGAGCGGGGGACCACCAGGUUGCCUAAGGAGGGGUGAACCGGCCCAGGUCGGAAACGGAGCAGGUCAAAACUCCCGUGCUGAUCAGUAGUGGGAUCGCGCCUGUGAAUAGCCACUGCACUCCAGCCUGGGCAACAUAGCGAGACCCCGUC